CAGUAGCCGCGGGAAAACAGAGGGUGCGAGCGUUAAUCGGAUUUACUGGGCGUAAAGCGUGCGUAGGCGGCUUUUUAAGUCGGAUGUGAAAUCCCUGAGCUUAACUUAGGAAUUGCAUUCGAUACUGGGAAGCUAGAGUAUGGGAGAGGAUGGUAGAAUUCCAGGUGUAGCGGUGAAAUGCGUAGAGAUCUGGAGGAAUACCGAUGGCGAAGGCAGCCAUCUGGCCUAAUACUGACGCUGAGGUACGAAAGCAUGGGGAGCAAACAGGAUUAGAUACCCGAGUAGUCCCUGUCUCUUAUAA
rnacentral:rRNA from 1 species